rnacentral:rRNA from 1 species
GAUGAACGCUGGCGGCGUGCCUAAUACAUGCAAGUCGAGCGAACAGAUGAGGAGCUUGCUCCUCUGACGUUAGCGGCGGACGGGUGAGUAACACGUGGAUAACCUACCUAUAAGACUGGGAUAACUUCGGGAAACCGGAGCUAAUACCGGAUAAUAUAUUGAACCGCAUGGUUCAAUAGUGAAAGACGGUUUUGCUGUCACUUAUAGAUGGAUCCGCGCCGCAUUAGCUAGUUGGUAAGGUAACGGCUUACCAAGGCAACGAUGCGUAGCCGACCUGAGAGGGUGAUCGGCCACACUGGAACGGAGACACGGUCCAGACUCCUACGGGAGGCAGCAGUAGGGAAUCUUCCGCUAUGGGCGAAAGCCUGACGGAGCAACGCCGCGUGAGUGAUGAAGGUCUUCGGAUCGUAAAACUCUGUUAUUAGGGAAGAACAAAUGUGUAAGUAACUAUGCACGUCUUGACGGUACCUAAUCAGAAAGCCACGGCUAACUACGUG